rnacentral:rRNA from 1 species
AAUGAACCGGCGAGUUACGAUUUGAUGCAAGGUUAAGCAGUAAAUGUGGAGCCGUAGCGAAAGCGAGUCUGAAUAGGGCGUUUAGUAUUUGGUCGUAGACCCGAAACCAGGUGAUCUACCCUUGGUCAGGUUGAAGUUCAGGUAACACUGAAUGGAGGACCGAACCGACUUACGUUGAAAAGUGAGCGGAUGAACUGAGGGUAGCGGAGAAAUUCCAAUCGAACCUGGAGAUAGCUGGUUCUCUCCGAAAUAGCUUUAGGGCUAGCCUCAAGUGAUGAUUAUUGGAGGUAGAGCACUGUUUGGACGAGGGGCCCCUCUCGGGUUACCGAAUUCAGACAAACUCCGAAUGCCAAUUAAUUUAACUUGGGAGUCAGAACAUGGGUGAUAAGGUCCGUGUUCGAAAGGGAAACAGCCCAGACCACCAGCUAAGGUCCCA